GGGCGUUUGGCGAAGUGGUAUCGCGUCUGCUUCGCACUUUUCCGGCACAGAAGCUUCCUUCUCGGAUUGCUUCCGCACGCCAACAGGAUCAGUUCAUGUAGAAGAUCCUCGGUUCAAUCCCGAGAUCGUCCA
rfam:Zymoseptoria brevis strain Zb18110 contig348, whole genome shotgun sequence.